rnacentral:pre_miRNA from 12 species
CUCUCCUGGCCCAUGAAAUCAAGUGUGGGUGAGACCUGGUGCACAGCGGGAAGGCGACCCAUACUUGGUUUCAGAGGCUGCGAGAA